GACAGAGGUGGCAAGCGUUGUUCGGAUUCAUUGGGUGUAAAGGGUCCGUAGGUGGUCUAGCAAGUCUGAUGUGAAAUCCCAUGGCUUAACCGUGGAACUGCAUUGGAAACUGUUGGACUUGAGUACCGCAGAGGUAAAGGGAAUUCCCGGUGUAAGGGUGAAAUCUGUAGAUAUCGGGAGGAACACCAGUGGCGAAGGCGCUUUACUGGGCGGUUACUGACACUGAGGGACGAAAGCAAGGGGAGCAAACAGG
rnacentral:rRNA from 1 species